rnacentral:rRNA from 1 species
GACGAACGCUGGCGGCGUGCUUAACACAUGCAAGUCGAACGGUGAACCCGCUUCGGUGGGGGAUCAGUGGCGAACGGGUGAGUAACACGUGGGCAACCUGCCCCCGGCUCUGGGAUAACUCCAAGAAAUUGGGGCUAAUACCGGAUGUGACCGCUGACCGCAUGGUCUGGUGGUGGAAAGGGUUUCCGGCUGGGGAUGGGCCCGCGGCCUAUCAGCUUGUUGGUGGGGUAGUGGCCUACCAAGGCGACGACGGGUAGCCGGCCUGAGAGGGUGACCGGCCACACUGGGACUGAGACACGGCCCAGACUCCUACGGGAGGCAGCAGUGGGGAAUAUUGCGCAAUGGGCGAAAGCCUGACGCAGCGACGCCGCGUGGGGGAUGACGGCCUUCGGGUUGUAAACCUCUUUCAGCUCCGACGAAGCGCAAGUGACGGUAGGAGCAGAAGAAGCACCGGCCAACUACGUGCCAGCCGCCGCCGUAAUAC